AACACGUGGGCAAUCUGCCCUGCACUUCGGGAUAAGCCUGGGAAACUGGGUCUAAUACCGGAUAGGACCUUUAGACGCAUGUCUUUUGGUGGAAAGCUUUUGCGGUGUGGGAUGGGCCCGCGGCCUAUCAGCUUGUUGGUGGGGUGAUGGCCUACCAAGGCGACGACGGGUAGCCGGCCUGAGAGGGUGUCCGGCCACACUGGGACUGAGAUACGGCCCAGACUCCUACGGGAGGCAGCAGUGGGGAAUAUUGCACAAUGGGCGCAAGCCUGAUGCAGCGACGCCGCGUGGGGGAUGACGGCCUUCGGGUUGUAAACCUCUUUCACCAUCGACGAAGGUCCGGGUUUUCUCGGAUUGACGGUAGGUGGAGAAGAAGCACCGGCCAACUACGUGCCAGCAGCCGCGGUAAUACGUAGGGUGCGAGCGUUGUCCGGAAUUACUGGGCGUAAAGAGCUCGUAGGUGGUUUGUCGCGUUGUUCGUGAAAUCUCACGGCUUAACUGUGAGCGUGCGGGCGAUACGGGCAGACUAGAGUACUGCAGGGGAGACUGGAAUUCCUGGUGUAGCGGUGGAAUGCGCAGAUAUCAGGAGGAACACCGGUGGCGAAGGCGGGUCUCUGGGCAGUAACUGACGCUGAGGAGCGAAAGCGUGGGGAGCGAACAGGAUUAGAUACCCUGGUAGUCCACGCCGUAAACGGUGGGUACUAGGUGUGGGUUUCCUUCCUUGGGAUCCGUGCCGUAGCUAACGCAUUAAGUACCCCGCCUGGGGAGUACGGCCGCAAGGCUAAAACUCAAAGGAAUUGACGGGGGGCCCNCNNAANG
rnacentral:rRNA from 1 species